rnacentral:rRNA from 1 species
AUGACUAACCAAAUCAUACCCGUUUCCCCGCACCUUUUGUCUCUGUUCCUAGCAAAGCCUCCCACUAAACUUGGUCAAAAAUUUAUGAUAAGCAAGAAUAAAAGGCAUCAAGACAGACCGGCUGCUCUGGAGGUGUGGGAUCGGCUGGAUGAAUUUGUGCGGGUCGUUCUGUCAAAAGCCAUCUACGCAUGUGUUUUUCCACUCCAUAUCACCGAAAAGCAACGGUAUGUUUCUGGUGCCACCACCAACAGCACCGCCGCCCGUCCCUCCACCGAGCCGGCCCUCCCCCGCCCCUCCCCGGCCACCGCGGCGUGCCCCGCGGCCCGGCCCUCCACCGAGCCAGGCCACGGCGCCGCCCCCUUCUCGCGGCCCUCCCCGCCACGGCGCCAUCGAACUAGCUCACCAUCAGGGAAAAAAGCCGGCCGAACCCUCCGUGGCCCCCUCCGUCCACUCCAGGAGCCGUGCCUCCCCCAUCUACAUCGAGUACGCCAACGGGUCGGCCGGGAUCGCCACUGCAUCGACGCCACGAUCCUCUUCUUCAACCGGAAUACUAAAGAAGCAAUCAUAAGUAUCCCCACGCCUGCUCUACCGCCGCCAACGACCCCCUGCACCCACUCCGAUGAACCCCGCGCCUGCUCCAGCGACCGCCGCGCCCGCUCCGACGACGUGCACUGCCCACUGCUUCUUCCUCCUGGACCACCAGUUGGAGCUGGGAAGCUCUCCUCCAUUGGAUCGCCUCGCUCCACCACCGUCGGCAUCGCCGCUGCCGCCACGUCGACCUGCAACACCGGCGCCCCCCCGACCUCUCCAAGCAAGCCCCGACCCGCAACACCGGUAAUGCGUGCGGUGAAACGAGCCUAUUUUUUGGUAUUUCUGAUGGACAAGGAAUGCAGAUUUGAUGACAUAGAGGAUGGUGGAUUUGAUUUUAUUAGAAAUAGGCGGUACACACUCAAUUUUGAUCAAUGCCCUUGUGUUGGUGCACUGUACGUGCAUAGUCAUCAUUUGCUUUCUGAUGAUGGUAUGCAUGCUCGAUGCUUGUCUGUAGUUAGCACCAUGUAUUUUUCUGAUGAUGGCAGUUCGGUGCUUGUCUGUAGUCUAAUAGGAGCAAAGAAUCGCAGCUUUGUCUGUUGUGGGGUAAAUCCUCUUUGUUUAUUUGCCUGCGUAAUCUCACGAUUGGAGCUAGGGGCGCCACAUGUGAGCCAUCCACAAGCCGUUGACCUCGCUCCUGUCCCGCCUGCCCACCUCCCCUACCUGACCGUGACCGCCAUUAAAGAAGACGACGAAGAAGAAGAGGAGGAGCAGGAGGAGGAGGAAGUGAGUCUAGGCAUCCCAGACCCCUUGGCGGAGUUCACCGUCCCGCAGGAGCAUGACGUCCUCAGGGCCCGGUACCGUUGGGACCCAGUCAAGAAGGUUUUCAGGACGGACCCAGUCACAAUGAAGUUCAUGAGACUGCUGUAUGUCAAUAUUGGCGCCAUUGAUGAUGGAGGAUUGAUGGCUCAGCAGUAUGAGUACUCAGUGUUUGAGCAUCAUGAGUCGGUGCCUGAAUUGCUGCCUCCGGAGCCUGAAUGUACUAUUCCACCAAAGAAGCAUCGAAAGAGAGCGGGGAAAGGCAACAAUAAAGCUGAUGCUAUGAUCCAGCCGCCUCCUCAACCUCGGGUUCAAGACCGUAACCUGUCUGCGGUUCAUGUCAAGUCGAUCGAGGAUUUCGCGCAGCUGGGUUGUUUCGAUGAGAACCAAGACAAGCAGGAGCCCACCAAAGCUUCUUCUACCCAGCAGCAACCCACUAAACCCUUUUCUACCCAGCCGCAACCCGCUAAAGCUUCUUCCACCCAGCUACCGGCCAGAGGGCACCAAGGCCUCAUCAUUCACAUAUCUACCUCUGACCAGGACGGCAAACAGCAUACUGUGUCCAAGAUCAACUUGAUCAGCCUCUCAGACCUGUUGCCGAGGAUCCGGUGGAGCGCGACGAUGUGGUCCUCCUCCUGCUGCGAGAAGCAGCCGCGCUUGAGGUCGGGGCGGAGGUAG